rnacentral:rRNA from 1 species
UACGAAGGGGGCUAGCGUUGCUCGGAAUCACUGGGCGUAAAGGGCGCGUAGGCGGCCAUUCAAGUCGGGGGGUGAAAGCCUGUGGCUCAACCACAGAAUUGCCUUCGAUACUGUUUGGCUUGAGUUUGGUAGAGGUUGGUGGAACUGCGAGUGUAGAGGUGAAAUUCGUAGAUAUUCGCAAGAACACCAGUGGCGAAGGCGGCCAACUGGACCAACACUGACGC